AUGUCUUCUGCGCCAGCCGAACUGAAAUCACAAAUCAAGACGAAGCGCGGUGCAGCACACGUACGUACCCUCGUAAGUCUCCCACGGAUAGAUGAUGCCGUUGUUGUCGCGGUCGAAGAAGGCGACGUGCUGCUGCAGCACGCUCAUGUUGUGGUGCUGGUGAUCAUCCGUCGUCCCCUCCGGGUGGUACAUGUCCUCGAUCUUGCUGCCCGCGUCGCCAUGCCCAUCCGUCCUGUUUGCACCCCGGUGGCCGACGCCGCCGGCGGUGUCGUGGUCGCCCUUCGCCUCACGGACGACGUGCCCGUCCGCGGCGUCGCCCUUCCCGUCCGUCCUGCUCGCGUCACGGACCUCGACCUUGCGCCCCUUGGUGGCCAUCUUCGCCGCUCUGCGACGGCGCACCAGAACAGGGUGGCAACCGAUGAACCGUGA
rnacentral:rRNA from 1 species